CAGCUCUUGGAGGGUUGCUCCAGGCAGGGCUUCAGAGAGCCAGUGCUGACCAGCAUGCAAGAACUGAGUGGUCCACAUGGUAAACAGGGCACACAACAGGCUCAUGAGGAUUUUGGUGUUUAAGGUGAAUGCAGCUGUGUGAACAAGGUGAUUCUUCCUGCUUUCCCUUGCUCCAAGCUUCUGUGCAGAACAUGUUAUGGGGGUGCCAGGAGUAUCCCUCCCUUGUGGGCAGCUCUGGCUCCAUGCAGAGAAAUAAUCAGUCCCUCUUUUUUUAAGACAUCUGGCAUGCACUGAGCAGGAAAAAUAUGGCAAGCUGGAAUUUCUUUCAUAGGGAGAAGCAGACCACGCUAUUUGGGCCAAAUCUAAAGUUUCUCCCUUACAAUUUUUGCAUAUGAAUGGGAAUUCAGGCUUGGUCCCCAGCGGGCCCAUCAUUAUAUGUAUUAACAGGCAGCUGGGCUUUAGAAAAAAGGGGAAAGCAGAAAGAAAAUAGAUGUUUAUUCUGUGCUUAGGCAAAUUCGCAGGAGACGAAUCAUCUCCCAUUCUCGCCAGACAAACACUUUGCUCUCUAUAGGCUCUGAAUGCAUUCACUCAUCAAGGCAUAUUGGGUAACUGCUUAUUAGCACAAGUUCAGCUCCCUUUGUGCAUCCCUCAGCUACACGCUCAAAUUUAAGCCCUCACUAUGGCAGGCCUGGUGAGAUUAUUUUCCUUUCCCUUUCUUGAAGGAAGCACAGGAUUACACUGCUAGAGCUUUAACUUUGAUUUGAUAACGAGUCUUUGUAUAUAUAUGUGUAUAUAUCAGAAUAUCUGUAUAUAAAAUAUUUAUAUCUGUAUAUACAGAUAUAUAUGUGUAUUUUAA